CAGCUUGUCCUUGGAAAUUCUUAUAAAUUACGAUGACAUCCGCUUGCAACGUGCCAUAUGGGCAGUGAUGGCUGCACUCAUUUGAUCAUAAACAACGACUUCAACACAGUACGCCCGGAAUUAAAAGAUUUACUUCAGAUCCGGGAGGUAUUACCUAUAAGAUGAAAUGUACGUAUGACUGUUGGAAGCGUCCAGAAAAAUUAUGAAAUUCCGCGACCACUAGCUGAGUAACGGAUAUCUGAUAGUCGUGAAAGUCAACUUUAGCAUUCUCUCUCGUUAGGACCUAAAGCUUCUUCCUUAAAGUUAGCCAGAUAAAAUUAAAAGGAUAACAUCCCCUGAACCAGGAUUUUAAGAUGAUGGAAACCCGUCUUGGUAGUAGGUGAAAGGCUGAAAUAGCCAACUAAGAUACUAAAUAUAGAGGUAUAUCGCACACAACCAUUUUAUUUUUGUACACUUUUAUUUUGGAUCGCCAUUAAUAAAGCAGCAGAGGAAAAUGCGAAAUGACUUGAAAAUAAAAACGUCGCUCCAUAGGAUCAACUACCACGAGCAAUUUUGUAAAAUUCUAACUAGGAUAUAUAACAAUAAUUUAUCUGUCUGCGGCAUCCAGCGGGCUUGAGUGAGCCGGACAAAGAUUAGAAGGGAUACGUCAAGCUUAUAAGCUUAAAAAAUAAAAAUAACUAUUUCUCCUAAACUAUUUGGUGGAGUGGUUUCAAUCCCAGCCGAAGAGAAGCCUUUCCGAAAAGAGAAAAUUUCCCUAUUAAAUGAAAUUCCUUGUCAAUGAUUGGGCCUUGCGGAUUUCAGAGGACUUUUCUUAUAGAAAGCAAACACAAAUCUAGUUAAUUUAAAUGCAAGGACAUUUACCUGUUUGCCAAAAAAGAUGAACUAAUUAUCAGUAACAGAACAGGAGAGAACACUAUAGUAGAUUUUCUCUAUUACCAUCCUCAGCAGGUAGGCCUGCGGAGGCCGUUGGCAUCAGAUUGGUCAUUGCCAACAUGUUUUUGGUACAGUAAGAGAAAAAAUACCCUUUUCUCGUAAAGUAAAAGAGUACACUAAUUUCGUUUAAAAGUAUGUAACAGGUAGAAUGAAGCGUUUCCGACCGUAUAAAGUAUAUAUAUUC